UGGGGAAUAUUGCACAAUGGGCGCAAGCCUGAUGCAGCCAUGCCGCGUGUGUGAAGAAGGCCUUCGGGUUGUAAAGCACUUUCAGCGAGGAGGAAGGUGGUGAACUUAAUACGUUCAUCAAUUGACGUUACUCGCAGAAGAAGCACCGGCUAACUCCGUGCCAGCAGCCGCGGUAAUACGGAGGGUGCAAGCGUUAAUCGGAAUUACUGGGCGUAAAGCGCACGCAGGCGGUUUGUUAAGUCAGAUGUGAAAUCCCCGGGCUCAACCUGGGAACUGCAUUUGAAACUGGCAAGCUAGAGUCUCGUAGAGGGGGGUAGAAUUCCAGGUGUAGCGGUGAAAUGCGUAGAGAUCUGGAGGAAUACCGGUGGCGAAGGCGGCCCCCUGGACGAAGACUGACGCUCAGGUGCGAAAGCGUGGGGAGCAAACAGGAUUAGAUACCCCUGGUAGUCCACGCUGUAAACGAUGUCGAUUUUGGAGGUUGUGCCCUUGAGGCGUGGCUUCCGGAGCUAACGCGUUAAAUCGACCGCCUGGGGAGUACGGUCGCAAGAUUAAAACUCAAAGGAAUUGACGGGGUCAUA
rnacentral:rRNA from 1 species